rnacentral:lncRNA from 1 species
CUUUCACAAACUUUAGGUAUUUGAACAGGUACAACACACCUAUAUUUUUUCCUGGGAGAAAUAUCAAUAACCUCAGAUAUGCAGAUGACACCACCCU